CAGUUACUCAGUACCACACCG
rnacentral:misc_RNA from 1 species